rnacentral:lncRNA from 1 species
GAUCACAGGAGGGGCACGUGAGCGAGGCCCGUCGUGCAAGAGGAAAUCGAAUCGCGGAGCGGUUCCAGAAGGCUGUGCAGAGAGGUGAGAAGUGGAAGUUCCAGAUCCUGCAGAAGAUGCGGGGGUCCCCCUUGGUGUCUGCUGUGGGCGUCAGAAGGAAAGAAGCUCAUGCUCAGGACACAAGUACCCGGAUUUUGCACCGUGUGGAUGUACCAUCGAGAGAAUGACGGGCUAACAUUGGGCUGCGACUCCACCGAACCGGAAAGUGAUGCCCGAAGAUACUGGAGAAGCACAUCAAGGAAUGAAUGGUGAGAGCGUGUAUU